rnacentral:rRNA from 1 species
UGAGGAAUAUUGGACAAUGGGCGCAAGCCUGAUCCAGCCAUGCCGCGUGCAGGAUGACGGUCCUAUGGAUUGUAAACUGCUUUUGUACAGGAAGAAACAGUUCUACGUGUAGAACCUUGACGGUACUGUAAGAAUAAGGAUCGGCUAACUCCGUGCCAGCAGCCGCGGUAAUACGGAGGAUCCAAGCGUUAUCCGGAAUCAUUGGGUUUAAAGGUCCGUAGGCGGUUAGAUAAGUCCAGUGGUGAAAGCCCAUCGCUCAACGGUGGAACGGCCAUUGAUACUGUCUGACUUGAAUUAUUAGGAAGUAACUAGAAUAUGUAGUGUAGCGGUGAAAUGCUUAGAGAUUACAUGGAAUACCAAUUGCGAAGGCAGGUUACUACUAAUGGAUUGACGCUGAUGGACGAAAGCGUGGGUAGCGAACAGGAUUAGAUACCCAAGUAGUCCCUGAGCGGGCUGGCAAGGCGCAU